UGAAGCGUACACUAAUAACUUAAGUAGUGCUUUAGUGUUCCCUCAAGAUACUUGAGGUACCCUAAAAAGUAAAACUAAAGAUAACCACUAUUUAAGACGUCGCUUCA
rnacentral:sRNA from 1 species